rnacentral:rRNA from 1 species
UACGUAGGGUGCGAGCGUUGUCCGGAAUUAUUGGGCGUAAAGAGCUCGUAGGCGGUUUGUCGCGUCGGCCGUGAAAACUUGGGGCUUAACCCCAAGCCUGCGGUCGAUACGGGCAGACUUGAGUUCGGCAGGGGAGACUGGAAUUCCUGGUGUAGCGGUGAAAUGCGCAGAUAUCUGGAGGAACACCGGUGGCGAAGGCGGCAUCCUGGACCGGCAUUGACGCUGAGGCGCGAAAGCCAGGGGAGCAAACGGG